AUGGUUUUGCUAACAUCUUCUGCUAACAUGGCUCUUCUCUUAAUGCUGCUUUGUUCAUUGUUUGUGCAGAAUCUAAGAUCAAGUGAUUUAUACUGGGUGAGUACAUCGUACAAUAUUUGUGGCUCUUUGGACAUAGCCUAUGGAUUUAACUGUUCAGCCUUUGUGCAUUCCCCUCAAAUGCCAAAAGAGUUGGCAGAGGACUUAAAUUUAGCCUGGUUGCUACCCAGAGAUAUUCUUCAGCUUCAAAAUCUUUUGAUUUUAAAUGACUAUUUUGCAUUUGAUGGCAGACAUUACUGGGACUCUCAUUUUAAAAACUCUACAGAUUCUUCAUAUACUGAUGGUAAACAGAGAUGGUUAAUAUUUUUAUUGCUGCUUUUAUCUGGCAAUGUGCAGCCAAAUCCAGGCCCUGAGUUGCAGUGUAUUCCAUUGCCAUCUGAUGUGAAAUCCAUGUCUGGUUUGAGUGUAAUUCACCUUAAUGUUCGCAGUUUGUUACCCAAAAUGGAUCUGCUUAGAAUUUGGGUGAAUUUAACAGAUGCAGAUAUUGUUGUGCUAUCUGAAACCUGGCUGACAAAAUCAAUCACUGAUAUGGAUAUUGGAAUGGGUGGUUAUAACGUGUUUCGUGCUGACAGACCAAGGAAGGGUGGUGGGGUUGCUAUUUAUGUCAAAUCUAAAUUUAAUGUGAAGUUAGUCGAUUCAGAAUCAAUCGGUAAGCAGCUGGAAUUUUUGGCAGUGAAGGUGGAGUUGGCCAAGGGCCUUUAUGUUACUGUUGUUGGGUGUUAUAGGCCUCCUUCUGCCCUGAGUACUGCAUUGCAGACUCUUAUUCAACUCUUAUCCAGAUUGGACUACUCUGAAAUUAUUUUAGCAGGUGAUCUAAACUGGGACUGGCUGAAACCUUGUUCAGAUGAAUUUAAGUCAUUUUGUGAUUCUGUCAAUUUUACACAGUUAAUCAAUUCUCCCACUCGUUUAAAUCUUAAGUGCCAUGAGAAAUCCACCUUAAUUUAUUUAAUUUUGACUAAUGUCCCGCACAAAUUUUCUGCUGUUGGUGUUUUUUGCAAUGACCUAAGUGAUCAUUGUGUUGUUGCUGCUGUAAGAAAUACUAAGAUGCCUAAAUGUAAACCUCGCGUAAUAUGUAAGAGGAAUUUCAAAAAAUUUAAUGAACAGGGCUUUUGCCAUGAUUUGUUUAAUUGUGAUUGGAGUAGAAUAGAGCUGAUUCCCGAUGUGGAGUCAGCCUGGAUCUUUUUCCGGGAUAGUUUUUUGCAAGUAAUAAAUAGACACGCCCCACUAAAGAGAUUCAGAGUUAAGGGGCGGGACAAUCCCUGGUUUUCCUCUGAGCUUGGAGAUAUUCUUCAUGACCGCAAUUUAGCUUGGGCCAAAGCAAGAAAAACGGGCUCUUCGUCUGAUUGGCUUGUUUUUAGGCAGUUAAGAAAUAAAUGUUCUUCUUUUAUUAAGAAAGCAAAAUCUGACUUUUAUCUGUCAGCCACUACUAACACCUUAAAUGAUCCCAGAAAAUUUUGGAAGGCUAUAAAAUUACUUUCUUUAAACAAAGAUAGUAUUAAUGUUCCUUCUUUUAUUAUGAAAGAGUCUGUAGUAGUUCAUGACAAGCUGGAGAUAUUGAACCAUUUUAAUGAGUAUUUUAUUCAGUCUGGUUCUUUGUUUGACACUGCUUGUCCUUAUACUGUGACACCUUGUAGAGAUGUACCAGUCUCUACAAGUGUCUUCAAUCUCACUCCAUUCUUAGUGGCUGACGUUCAAAAAGCCCUAAAAGGGCUGGCUCCUGAAAAACCUCCAGGACCUGAUCUUAUAGAGCCCUACUUCUUAAAAAUAGCUGCUGAUUGUGUAGCACAGCCUCUAACGUACCUUUUUAAUCUUACUUUAGAGAGCAAUACUAUUCCCAAAAUAUGGAAAUCUGCAUUUGUUUGUCCAUUAUUGAAAGGGGGUGACCCGUCAAAUUUAAAUAAUUACAGGUCAAUUUCUAAUUUGUCUGUUUUGGCCAAAACGCUUGAAUCCCUGGUGAGUGAUCAGAUGAAAGACUUCUUGCAUGUACAGGACAUUUUAUCCCCAGUUCAGGCAGGUUUCAGAAAAAAACAUAGUACCAUCACAGCUGCAAUGAAGGUGAUAAAUGACAUCUCUGUUGCUCGUGACAAGAAGCAGCACUGUGCAGCACUUUUUAUUGAUUUGUCAAAAGCUUUUAACACGGUUGAUCAUGAUGUAUUAAAGAUUAGGCUUCUUAAUUCGGGGUUUCAAACUAUCUUAGUGACAGAACCCAGUGCAUUAAGUAUGAUGGUGUUCAAUCGGGUAUUUUACCAAUCCUUAAAGGGGUUCCACAAGGCUCUGUGUUAG
ensembl:lncRNA